rnacentral:tRNA from 1 species
GCGGGUAUGAUGUAAAGGUAGCGUCUUAGCCUUCCAAGCUAAAGGUGAGGGUUCGAUUCCCUCUACCCGCU